GAUGAACGCUGACAGAAUGCUUAACACAUGCAAGUCUACUUGAACUUCGGUUUGGGUGGCGGACGGGUGAGUAACGCGUAAAGAACUUGCCUCACAGUUAGGGACAACAUUUGGAAACGAAUGCUAAUACCUGAUAUUAUGAUUUUAGGGCAUCCUAGGAUUAUGAAGGCUAUAUGUGCUGUGAGAGAGCUUUGCGUCCCAUUAGCUAGUUGGAGAGGUAACGGCUCACCAAGGCGAUGAUGGGUAGCCGGCCUGAGAGGGUGAACGGCCACAAGGGGACUGAGACACGGCCCUUACUCCUACGGGAGGCAGCAGUGGGGAAUAUUGGACAAUGGACCAAAAGUCUGAUCCAGCAAUUCUGUGUGCACGAUGACGUUUUUCGGAAUGUAAAGUGCUUUCAGUUGGGAAGAAAAAAAUGACGGUACCAACAGAAGAAGUGACGGCUAAAUACGUG
rnacentral:rRNA from 1 species